AUCAAAUAUGAAAAUUCAAAGUAAAAUAGCAGCUGUCUUGUUUAAAGUUGCUAAAUUUCUAAGUAACUGCUGCUAAUUCUCUUCUAGGUGAUUGAUCAUUUCAGACUUUACCUACAGUAACCAUCUGUCAGUCUUCUGCUCCAUUACCAUGGAAACCAACUCAUCCAUAAGUCUGGUCACUGUGGUAACAUGAGAAAGUAUGUGCUCAGGGUCUCUUGGCUUAAAGAAACACAGAGGCAAGAAAUCAGAAAGUGGGUGUGCAUAAUUGCAGAAUGUCAGCAGGAACGGCUGGAGAUGUGCUCAGGGUUUUCAUCGAGGCAGCUGCCCAGACUUGCUACAUUCAGAAACAGCUGGUGCCGUCCAUCCAGCCCAGGCAAGCGCAGGUGGGCCUGUCACGACUGACCGCCCCAUCCCUGACCCAGCCUCCACCAUACGGCCCACAGCAGCCAGAGAGGAGGCUGUGCCAAAACUGUGUCACUCACAAAGACUGAAAUAAAAUGGAAGAUUUGGUACCCAAAGGCUUCUAUGCCCACUGUGGUGGUGAAGCAGAUGUUUCUUGUUGCUUCUGAUGAGCAGGAAGGUGUCUAAACCAUUGACAUCUAGUAAGGUUUUGAUGAUUGGCAAACAUGAUUUACAGAAAGAUGUAAAGAUUUUACUUUAUGAUGGAAUUCAGGGGCCAAAACUGCUAUAUUAUUAUUAUUUUUGAAUAUUUUGUAUUUCCCAAAACACUUCUUAAGAAUAUUCUUAUAUUUUGUUUAAAGUAAACAAGUGAAAUUCUUU
ensembl:lncRNA